GACGAAGGGGGCUAGCGUUGUCCGGAAUUAUUGGGCGUAAAGGGCGCGUAGGCGGAUCUUUAAGUCUGGUGUGAAAGAUCAGGGCUCAACCCUGAGAGUGCAUCGGAAACUGGGGAUCUUGAGGACAGGAGAGGAAAGUGGAAUUCCUAGUGUAGCGGUGAAAUGCGUAGAUAUUAGGAGGAACACCAGUGGCGAAGGCGACUUUCUGGACUGUAACUGACGCUGAGGCGCGAAAGCGUGGGGAGCAAACAGG
rnacentral:rRNA from 1 species